rnacentral:rRNA from 1 species
UACGAAGGUGGCGAAUGUUGCUCGGAUUCACUGGGCGUAAAGCGUCGGUAGGUGGCUUGUUAAGUUAGAGGUGAAAGCCCCGCGCUCAACGUGGGAAUUGCCUUUAAAACUGGCGAGCUCGAGAAUAUCAGAGGAUGGCGGAAUAUCCGGUGUAGAGGUAAAAUUCAUAGAUAUCGGAUGGAACACCCAUGGCGAAGGCAGCUAUCUGGGGUAUUUCUGACACUGAGCGACGACAGCGUGGGGAGCAAACAGGAUUAGAUACCCUGGUAGUCCACGCCGUAAACGAUGCAUGCUCGCUGUCGGGCUCGCUACAGAGCUCGGUGGCUUAGCUAACGCGGUAAGCAUGCCGCCUGGGGAUUACGGCCGCAAGGUUAAA